rnacentral:rRNA from 1 species
AGGUAGUAACUUUAAACCUAUUUAUUAUGACGGCAUAUUUCAUUAGAGGAACUCGUCACCUAAUUCGACAACCCUCGUUAAUUUUUACUUUAUAUAAAAAUCUAUAUACCGCCAUCUUAAGAAAAUUCCUCAAAUUUUUUUCUAAAAAAUAACUAAAAAGUUAGGUCAAGGUGUAAUCAAUUAUAAAGCGAUGAUAAGUUACAUUAAAUAAAAUUUAAGAAAUUCAGAUUCAAAAAUCCUAAGAAAAAGAAUUUAACAGUACAUUAUUAUUAAUAAUAAUAAUCGAACAUAUCAAAAUGUGU